ACCACAAUUCUCUUCGAGCUAUCUUAUCUGCUGUCAUCACCUUGGUCUGAAUCUCCACGCUGAUGGGUUUUCGUCCUCUCCCCUCCCUUUUUCCUUUUUUUUCUUCUUUUGACCUUGUCCCUUCCCCUCUCCUCUUUCGCUCCUUUUGCCUGCUGAGACCGAGCAAAUAUGACUGUUGGUUGCUAGCCCCAAUUUUUUACCACAACAGUUUGGCGCUAUCUGUGGGAACGACCGUUCUUCCUAGCACCUGCGCAGUCGUAACUACCCAGAACCAAGUGCCAGUAGCCCCCCGGGUAACAGAUCCCAUCCUAUGGCCAAUCCACCGCAAGUACCAGAUCUAGAAGGCCUCCACCGUUGAGAUACACGAUAUGCUGAGGCAGAUGGGAUAAUUAACGAGAAUAAUGUCGCCUAAUGCACUCCCGUUGCUGUCCAACCCCCCACUUUCCGGCAGCACCACUCUUCCCGAUAUCGAGCGGUCUCGCCACUCGAAUCGUUCAGGAGAUCUUUCUCGAAAUAUCUGCCGAUCAAGUCGGGCGGGGGAGACCGCCAAGCACCAAACUCGUCCUUACGUGAAAAGAGUCCUCGAUCCUAGUAAAACUCCAACCAGAUCGAGAAGGGGGAGGAGUCCUCAUAGAGACGUCGGAUUAAAAAAAAAACAGGGCACGAAACAAAUCCACCUCGCAAAAGUUUCGAGAACUUGGCGCACGGCUCGACGCCAUCAACACUGGAGCAGGUGCCCCAGUACCUGUGGACACACUAAUUAAACAGACAGAACCGCCGUCCAGAGAAUAUUUAGGGCUCGGAUUUCAUCAAAUUCAAGCUCCCUCGCCCAGCUCGGUAUUUAUGCGGAACAGUUCGAUGGGACCACAUGGAUUCGGACAAGAGCCUAAUGUCCCGCUCCAGGGUUGCUCGGACGAGAAUUAUGUGGCAAGCGUUCUCCGCCACUUUGAAGGGACCCCUAGGUCCUGGUUUUGAAACCUGUCGCCAGGACGAUUAUUCUUUUGGCGAUCUCAGUCGACUCUUCGUCGCCAAUUCAUCAGCUGCAGAAAUCGCCAAAAGAAUGCUUCUCACCUUUUCACCAUUCUCAAAAAGAGACUGGAGCUUGAAAGAUUUCGUGAAAUGAGUCCAUCAUGCUAUUUUAUGAAGUCCGAGGAUCCCAGCGACAAAGUAUAUCAUGGCAAUGAUGGAAGGGAACUCCGACCUGUCCACUGUUCUACUCCCUUUCCAAAAACGUUCCGCAAAAAAACUGUAUCCACGCUCCCAGAGCACAAGCCGCAAGUACAUUGCCGCAGAGGAGCUUAGCCGAGGCUAAACGAAUGCGACGAGGAAAAUAUGACCAUAAGAGGAAAGAGCCUGAUACUAGGGCCGGACUGAUAUAGGGAUGAAGAACGAGGUACAAAAACCGUACUAGAUCCCAAACGUCUAGCAAUAGGCGUCACGUACCCCCCUAGCGACCUGAGUUUUAUCCUGCCACAACCUACGCCCUGUCCGCCCAAGUUCUCUCAGAAAUUAGCAUGAAGAAUCGUCAAUGGCCGGAAGAUUUAAAACUGACCCCCAAAAGAGGAACAAGGACAACUAUGUGAAUUCCACCGGACCACGGACAUCACCGAUGACUGUUUUCAACAAAAGAGCAGAUAGCCGACCUCAUUAAAAGGGGUUACCUGGGAAAUAUGUCGCUAAUCGCCACUGCCCAACUCCCCAGAAAGAAAGUACGACGACAACAAACCAAUUGCGGGCAUAAUACAAAUAAUCCACGGAGGUUUCGGAUCGGCGGUUAUUCAACUUCAUCCAGGAAAAGGCAUGCCAGAAAAAAAAAAAAAGUGCCCAUGACCAGCUGACGAGGAAGUUUUACAACCUCUCCUAGCCAUUCGUUGCUGACCAAACACCCAUCACCUCAGCAAUGAUGAUUGAAGGCGUGCACUUACCCCACACGAGCCCUGGUGGUCUCGACGUCAUCGCCAAUUUCAACGUCCAGAGUAUUCCUGAUCGACAACAGGAGCUCGGCGUAUAUCUUGUUCAUCUCUGCGUUCGAAAAAAUGAAAGUUUGGACCAGCAAGUUGCAUCCUUUUCCAUACCCCCCUGAUCGGAUUUGGAGGAAAUACGACGCACCCCUUGGGAUGGAUCACUUACCAAUAACCCUGGGAACCGAACCACACCAGACCACCGUAUGCAGGAUUAAAAAUUAUGUGGUUAUAUUGCCCCCCGCCUUAUAACGCCAUCCUGGUCGACCUACCCUAGGAGGAAUCAAGGCGAUCAUUCUACCUACCACCUGAAGAUGAAUCCCCACCUUACGGGGUGGCCGAAGUAAAGGGCGAUCAGAAAGUGGCUAGGCAAAUACUUUAUCUCGGCCAUUAAUUUUGGAACUUCCGUUCAGUCCGCCCAAUAGGCAAUCACAGAAGCGGGCGAUGACACGGGAUAUUGAGAGAUGAAAUAGAACAGCUUAUGCCUAGAGACCCCAGAGAACCAGGGACGAGAACACCAAACCUCUCGAAGAAGUCGUCCAAUCUUCCAUUCACCCAACCUACCCAGAUCGUCCCCCCCCCCAAGUUCAUGAUCGGAACAAAGCUCACCGAUGAAUUGCUAUCGCCUUAUAGAUUUCUUGAAAAGAAUUCGACGUGUUCGCUGGUCACAAGCGACGUCCCUGGCAUCGACCACCGAAGUCGUCAUGCAUAAGCUGUUCACCAAGCCUGAAUACUCCCCCAGUCCGCCAGAAAACGAGGAAGUUCGCCCUGACGCCUGAAAGUCAUUGAAGACAAAUAAGAAAACUCAUCAAAGCUAAUGUUUCCGAAAGUUCACUAUCCGAUUGCUCGCCAAUGUUCGUCGUUCGCCCGCAAAAAAGGGGGAGAAGUGUAGUUGUGGCGUAGACUUCGCCGACCUCACAGGCUUGCCCGAAAGACAGUUUUCCUUUGCCUAAAAUCGAUUUGGAUAGUCGCGCCACUCCAAGCAUGAGCUCUGAGGCUUUAUGGCUCCUCUCGGGUUAUCAUCAGAUCAAAUGUAUCCUCCUGAACGUUGAGAAAACUCUUUUAUCACGGAACGGGGGCUAUAUUGCUACAAAUUCAUGCCGUUUUGGGUUAAAGAACUCGGGGCCAACGUAUCAGAGAUUGGCAACAGGAUGUUCAAUGCACAAAUUGGAAAUAACUAUGGAAGUUUACAUGAUGAUAUGCUGGUUAAGAGUCUCCAAGCACACCACCACCUCGCCCCCUUGAAGAAGCAUUUGACAUACUGCGGCGGCACAGAAUGAUUGUUGAAUCCCUCUAAAUGCAUCUUUGGGUGUCUCUGGAAAGUUUCUGGGAUUCCUGUCACCAAGCGAGGAUUUGAGGAACCCGGAUCAAAUCAAAGCCUAAUCGCAAUGAAUCGAUUUAAGAAUUCCAAAAGUACAGCACUGACCGGGCGAGUAGUACCCCUGAAUAGAUUCGCUCGUCUCCAAAUUGCGGACAAAUGCCUCCGUUCUUCAAAUCCCUGAGAAAGAGCCAGACCUUUCAAUGGAGUGAGGAAUCUGAAACGCGUUCGCAACAGCUAAAAGAGUAUCUCGGGUCCCCGCCUUUUACUUCGGUCCCAACCGCCGAACGAAGAUCUCUACGUGUAUUUAUCUGGCCUCUCCCACCGCAUAAGUGCGUACUAAUCGCGAAAGAAGGUAAAUCCAAAAACCAAUAUAUUACGUUAGCAAACACUUUCAUUGGUGUAAGGCCAGAUAUCCGAAGAUUGAAAGAUCGCCUAUACUCUAAUGAUCGCCGCCAAAAAAAAAAUUUCGUCAGUACUUCCAGCCCAUUCCAUCAUAGUGUGACAGAAUCAACCACUAAAGCAUAUUCUCCAACGACCGGACACGUCGGUAGACUCCCUGAAGGUCCAUUCGAGCUAAGUGGUUCCACAUUGAGUACAAUCCAAGGACGGCAAUAAAGUCCGCAGCCCUGACUGAUUUUCUUGUCGCAUCCACCCAUGAAGACACUCCAACCAGAGACUACUCUCUUGAGGCGAAUAUCCUAAGACCAACCUCAGAAAAGACCUCGCCCACCUUGAUAUUGUUCGUUGUGGCUCUUUCUAACCAGCACGGCUACGGUGCAGGCUCGUCAUAAGAGCUCUCAUGGGGGGGGGGGGGGGGGGGGGGGGGGGGCCGCACCAGAUGGAUAUACGCCAUAAGAUGGGGUUUUAAAGCCACCAACAAUGAGGGCCGAUUACGACCCUCCUCGCCGGACUAGAGUAGCAACAAGAAGUUGGAGCACAAUCUUGGAAGUCUUCAGCGACUCACCACUGGUGGUAACCAAGUCGCAGGAGACUACCUCGCCAAGGACGCAAUGAAUAUAGCUUAUUUGGGAGAGGUAAAGGCUGUGUCCGCAAAGACAAGGAGUUUAAGAUUCACCGAUUCCCCCGAGAAGAUAAUAAAAAAGGCAAUGCCUUGGCUCAUCUGGCGUCCAACUUUUGAGUUUAUUUGACAGGUGCUACCUCUGGAAUUUUUAACCAGCCCAACAUCGAAAUCGCCAACAAAUCCUACAAAACCUAAGAAAAUCCGACGUGGCUGGACGACAUUAUUGCCUAUCUUCAGAAAGGUAUCUUGCCAAAAGAUAAGCUCCAAGCUCGCCGCCUCCUACAGAUCCGCAAGAUUUUGUAGUUUUCAAGGGCAUGCUAUACAAGAAGGUAUUUUUCAGACCACUCUUUAGAUGUCUCCGACCAGAAGAGCAGAGUAUGUUCUACGAGAAAUCCACGAAGGCAUAUGCGUAAAUCACUCCGGAGCAAGAUCUUUGCGAAGAAACUAUCGCCAAGGAUAUUUUUGGCCGACCAUAGAACGAGAUGCGACAGCAUAUAUAAAGAGAUGCGACAAAUGCCAUAGGUUUUUCCCCCGUCAUCCUUCUCUUCUCACACCGAUAUGGUACCAAUGUCCAGGCCCCUAGCCAUUCGCCCAGUGUGGGAUUAGACAUUCUGGGUCCCCCUACCGCAACUUCCUUUGCAAAGGAAGUUUUUAAUCGUCCGCAUAGAUUAUUUUUACUAAUGGAUAGAAGUUCAUCCUUUCGCCAAGAUUACUGAGAAAAAUACCCGAACUUCGUAUGGAAGACCUGUUUUUGCGAUUCGGAGUCCAAAGGUUAUUCAUCUCCGGACAAUCAAGGCAAUUCGCAACGACAGGUUCAGGUUAUUCUGCUCGGAUCUUCGCCAUCUCCCAUCAUUUCUCCCGCCCGGUCAUCCUCAGCUAUGGCAAGUUGAAAGUCACCAGCGUACCAUCCUCAGAAUUUGAAGGCAGGUUAACGACAAAAAGCAGUGGUCAGAAAACUUGCCGAACAUACUUUGGGCUUAUAUACUACCAGUCCGGAUUCUAUGGGUGAACUCCUAUUCCAUGUCUCGGCACCGAAUCAGCAUACCGGUGGAAAUAAGUAUCCGCGCUUCAAGAUUUCGAAUUUCGACGAGAAAGCAAUUGAAGGCCCGAGCUCAAACUCACCUAGACCUUCUUGAGGAAAAAUAGAGAGAACCGCCAAGCUACGUCAAUGGCUUACAAAUGCCAGGUCGCCAAUACUAUAUCCAAAUGGUCAUACACCGAUCAUUUCCUUGGGCGACCUGGUCUUGCGGAAAGUAACCUGCCAACUAAAGAACCAAAUGCGGAAACUCGCCUAACGUGGGGAAGGUCCUUACAAAGUCGUCAAAGUCUCCCGACCAGGGACUUACUGGUUAGAAGACCUAAACGGAAAGGCACUUUUACAUCCCUGGAAUGCCGACAUUUGAAAAAAUCUAUCAAUAAACUACUCGAGACAAUCCAGCCACGCCCUAAUAAUCUUAUGAUUUAGAAAUUGGUUUGCAUUCGCUUAUGAUUUUAUAUCAUCGUUUAUAUCAAGAUUACUAGCCGCCAUUGUUGAUAUCGCCAAUAUAUGAUCGCCAAUCCAUGCAGCUGAUCUCCUGAUCGCCCAUAUAUAUUCGCCAUUAUUAUGAUCGCCUAAAUCGAUGAUCACCAAGUUAAAGCAAAGGAUAAUCGCCCGUUUUGAAGUCGCCACAUCAUUCAUUAAAGUUGAAAGAAUGGGAACCAAUAUAUUUUCAUUCAUAUGGAUCACAAAAUUACAUCUUUAAAAAAAAAAUUAUACAUCAGGGCAACUCCUGCAACAGGAUCUUCUCCUUCUUUUUCAUCGCCUCUUCUCCUCGACGAAACUUGGGUCCAUCGCCAUAUUGCCACGUCGACGCCGAGGUUGGGGAAUUGAGAGGAGCUGCCUCUUGCGACCCAAAUCCCUCACUGAAGUAUGUUGGAGCAGAUCUGUACCGCUUGCCUUGAAUUCUCUCGAGGCUUUGAAGUCCCUCGAUGGCUGCUCCUUGGCCUUCGCCAUUUAUUUGUGAGUUUCCGCCAGGUUGCCUUUUAGAUCAUCCACCUCGGUGUCGGGCUUUGAUCCUUCCUCGCUAAGCCGCCAGCUGAUUCCUCCGCCUUAAACGGCUCGCUUUUGAGCUUUAACCAAUUCAUCUCGGCGGAAUCUGCGCGGCCAUAUGGAAGUCUAUGUCCUUGGAUAUGCUCUUGGCUGCGGAUGGCAAGAGAGAGGCUAACACAACACCUGCCAAUAUAACAUCAAAAGAAACAACACCAAGAUUUUCACAAUUACCUGACCCAAAGCGUGGAAGAUUUUACGACCAUUCAUUCUUCAGGAUAAUUGAUUCAACCUCCUUCUUGUGGGAAGACGGAAUCACCCUGUGAGCACCUCCGAGCCACAAAAGCAUCCGACAUCAUAGAUUCGGGAUCUAUAUCGCCACCAGGGGAAUAGGUCCCCGCCUCAGCACACGCCCCCUGUCAUUGAUCGCCCCUCGAUUGGACUUGAUCUUUUAGGGCGGCGGGGGCGGCCGCGACUUCCUUUCCCUUCGAAGAGACGCUCGCCACUUCGAUUACGUGGGUCGCCUCCUCGUACGUUUUUUCCCGAAUAACGACUCCUUUGGGUAGGAGGCUUGGCUGUUGUCACCUUGGCAGCCUUCCGGCUUGGCCUUGCUCCUGUUUUUUUCAAGCCCAAUGCGGGGCACCAGCUCGAGCGAUAUAGCUGCACAUGGGAUAUGUCAGAUGAGGAAGAAAACGUAAACACUUGGUUUCUAGAAUAUUACCUCAGAUCUGAGCUCGGGGGCAUGCUCGAAUCCGAAAUGGAAUCCACCCGAAUCCAAACAGAGCCGGACGUCCAGAUAGGAGAUCCGUAAACGUGCCCUUUGAAGUGAAUUUACAAUUACAGUACAGAAUUAGAUAUAACCAGAAUUACGAGUCAAGUCAUAUAAACAUAGUCUCCUUAAAAAAAAUUCGUCGCCUACUGAGGUCUUUUAGACUUUGUCGGAGUCUUGCUUCCAGGAUAAAAUGGCUAGAUGCAUACGUUAGAAUACCACUGAUGGAUGCCUUAGCAAAUUGAACCUAGUCUAUAUCACUCUCUUAAAAAAUUGAAAAUUGUCGGAGGAUGAAAAUUUUGUAUUUUUGUGUGUCUUCCAAUAUAAAAUCGAGGAUGUUUAUAUAGAAGAAAAAUUAACUGACGACUUGCUCAAUUCAAUAUACAAAACCUCAAUCAUAAU
rnacentral:lncRNA from 1 species